rnacentral:rRNA from 1 species
GACGAACGCUGGCGGCGUGCUUAACACAUGCAAGUCGAACGGAAAGGCCCUGCUUUUGUGGGGUGCUCGAGUGGCGAACGGGUGAGUAACACGUGAGUAACCUGCCCUUGACUUUGGGAUAACUUCAGGAAACUGGGGCUAAUACCGGAUAGGAGCUCCUGCUGCAUGGUGGGGGUUGGAAAGUUUCGGCGGUUGGGGAUGGACUCGCGGCUUAUCAGCUUGUUGGUGGGGUAGUGGCUUACCAAGGCUUUGACGGGUAGCCGGCCUGAGAGGGUGACCGGCCACAUUGGGACUGGAAUACGGCCCAGACUCCUACGGUAGGUAGAAGUGGGGAAUAUUGCACAAUGGGCGGAAGCCUGAUGCAACAACGCCGCGUGCGGGAUGACGGCCUUCGGGUUGUAAACCGCUUUCGCCUGUGACGAAGCGUGAGUGACGGUAAUGGGUAAAGAAGCACCGGCUAAAUACGUG